rnacentral:piRNA from 1 species
UGAAAUAGGAGGGUGGCAAGAACAGUUC